AAGCAGGAGAGCCAGCCGACGUUGUUGUUGUCUUAUCAGAAGGAAGAGCAAGAGCAAAGGCACUGGGAUGCACCCAGCAUGUUGGGGGCACGGCCAGAGGUGGGUUUGGCUUCGAGAGGGCUGAGCAGGAGUCAUGGGCCUGUCAUGGCCAAAAUACGAGAACACCCAAAUGCCCUUUCCUUCUAGAACAAGUCAAUUCUGGCAUAUUCAUUCAGCGAAGGACCUCAAGAGAUGGGGACGAAGGCAGGGCAGCCACUCCAAGUGCAGGUGACUUCAUAAACAUGACCAAAAGACACAAGAAAGCACAGCAUAGGACUUGGUGUGUCAAGUUCAACCCAGGCCAGAGCACCAGGCUCGGACAGAAGGCGGGAUGCGGGCCACUCUGGGGGAUGUCCGGGGGUGGGGGAGGGGGUUCCCCAGGGGCUGGUGAUGUUCUGGUUCACAGUCACACAGGUGUUCACUUUGCGGAAUGGCCUGGGUCAUGGAAUUAUCAUUUGUGUGCUUUUCUGUAGGUCUACUUCAAUAAAAACCUUCACUUGGGAGAAGGAAAAUGGUGAUGGGAGGGGCGGUGGAGACAGUGCAGCUGGCCUUGGGGGUCGCGCUCUAGGAGGCAGUGGCUGGAAGCUGCGUUCUCCCAGGCAGGGGCCCAGGGCCGACACGCUGCGAGCGCCGGGAGCGCGAGGACGGGCUCCAAGCCUCCCGCCCGGGCUGCAGGGCUGCAGGGCUGCAGGGCCGGCCGCGCUCCCCAACACCCUGGAACGUUCUCAGGGCUCCGCCCCCCCCCCUAGCUUCCAGACCCGAGGCCUGGCCGGGGCGAACCCCCGGCGUCACCACCACUCAUUCAUUCGCAGACGCAUUCAGCCCUACGCACGGAGCACCAGCCACGUUCCAGGCUGCAUCUGAGAACACGAUCAGGUCUCGGGGAGGGACUGACACCCCAGGACUGCGGACCCGGCGACCCACCGCGGCCUCCUCCGCAAGCGACCGCCCCAGCCGACGUGGGGUCAGUCCAGAAACAGUUUCCGUGAGCCCAUCCGGGACCGGUUGGAGCGGCGGAUGUCAAACUUGGAGUCCCGGCACUUUUGGCAGACAAACACUUCCGGAACAUUGGAUUUCCGUAUUUUCGCACAGGACAGGUGAAUCCAGAGAUGGCGGGGCACACUCUGCUGUCACACUCCAAGGAAGGGACCGCUCUUUGGACCACCAGCCACCACCAUGGCAGUCCUUCAAGGGUCACUCACCCGA